GGGAAUUUUACAUCGAUUUGAAUGCCACUGUUUGUAUUUGCCUUCCCUUAGGAGUUAACUAGAGUCCUUCUAGCAUUGAUUAGCUCUAUCUGGUUUCCUAAUGGAGUAAACACAGGGCCCCUUGAAUAUCGACUGGAAUUUAACAAAUAUACCCCUUACAAUACCAAAAUCGGCCACAGGACAAGGUGUUUACACGCACAGGCCACUUCUGCCUGAACUCCCAGCUGGGAUGCCUUGCGACUUCCCCUUGGGCAGCUGCUGCAGCCCAGCCGCUCUGAAAAGAACUCAUGAAUCAGUGGGACUGUUUAUAGUUUUUCCUUUUUAAUUUUGAGGCAGGAGUGAUUAAUUUGAGCCUCGUUGAGGCAAGGGACAAAUAAGUGCUGAUAAUGGCAAGACCUAAGAAGGGUUGAGUUCCUGCCAGGCCUGGGCCUCCCAGAGUGUCUCUGAACUGGUUGGGCCCACCUGCAGGCUUCUUCCCACACCCAUCCCAAGGACCCCUUUGAGCAGAGACCUCACAACCCUGCCUGGCCAAUGCAUGGAGCUGGGACUGUGUCCUUCAUCCCACCCUCCACCUAAACUUGAAUUUCCGCUGCUGCGAGUCACCAAGGUCCUCUCUACCUGCCCCUCUUCCCAUUGCCUCUGCAUUCAAUCCUUGGGCUGUCCUGGGCCCAUCAUCCAGCCUCUCGUAGCACAGGCCUGCUCUGCCUCUCAGCUGCUUGUUCCAGGCAUAGCCUCCUGAACUCAGGUCCGCUCUCCUAAGAAGACUGCAGCCGAGUUGAGGGGGGCUGAAGGCGAGGGGUCAGUCAGGUGACCCAGGGUGAUCCCUGCUUGGGGCUCAACUGCUUUUAAUCCGCCCCCCCAGGGAAAUUCCAGAAUAGCAAUAAAAUAAACCAGGGGAGAAAAACGAAAGUCCCAGUAGCAACGGAUUGGUUAGACCUCUGGCUUGACUCAUUAAUGAAGUACAGCUGGUCUGGCAGAAAGAGCUCCUGCUCUCUUUUGGGAACCAGCCCCUUACGUCCAUCCUUUCCAAGCAAGACCUCCCUCCCAGGGCCUCCCCAUCUCAUCUGGAGCAGGAGCAAGAUCCGGGGCCAAGCCGCUCAGCGUUCCAGAGGGCACUAAGGUACCGGCAGCCUCCUUCUGAAUAGAGGAAUCCAUAGCGUCUGCCCCAAAAAUCUACCCAAGAAGGAGGCACAGCAUGCACCCCAGGACUAAGCUGCCGAUGGAGAGGAACCUGUUCACAUAGACCACCACGCCUCCCUCCCUCCUUCCUUUCUCCAACCUCAGAAGCUGUGGAAGCCAGUGGAGCUUCCUGUGGGUAAAAAAUUCAAUCAAUCAACCACCCACCCAACACCCAUGGAGCAUGUCUUUUGUUCAAGUUCUGAGGGGGACACAAAAGAGCAGGCAGGCCACAGCUAUGCUCAUUAAUACGUCAGCUGCUUGGAACUUGGCAUGUAGAGCUGUGUUAUUCACAGCAGAAAGUUUCCUAGGCCAGCCUGCCAAAAAAAAAAAAAAAAAAAAAAAAUCACUACUAAAUGUCCCCGGCAUUCAGUACCAGAAAGGAAGAGUACUCUUGGGCACUCAAGACUGCUGAAGCUCACAUCCUGUCUCCAACACUUGCAGGCUGUGGGCCUGGAUGAGUGACUCCAUCUUGCUAUGCCUCCAUUUUCUUGUCAGUAAAAUGCGAACCAUGAACAUGCUACCAGAUUCUUGUGAGGAUUAAAUGAAUCUGUGCAGUGAGACACUCAGAAGAGCACCAAGUGUUCAAUAAACAGCAAUGAUGGUCUUCAACGUGUCACUGCAAAAGCCAAGCCAUACAGAAUAGAAGGGUGCUGUGGGAAAGCGCCCCUGCCAGGAGGAUGGCCAGUGCUGGAGGCUCCUCCCCACCUUCACCAGCCCCAACUGACUGUGACUUCGGAGCUCAGGGUAGGGCUGGCAGACGAAGAGUCUGGGAAAGACAAGAAAAGCAAAGGGACACCAUGCCCAGGGGAAGGGGCAUGGAGCCAUGGGAGAGGGACUUCCUGAGACUGAACUGCCCAGAGAAACUUCUACUAGGGGCUUUUCACUUCGGGGGCCAAUUGUAGAAAAGAACACAGUGUCCCCAGUCUGACAAACUUGAAAAUACUUUCUGAAAAGGGAACGAGUAUACACUGUUGGUGGGGAUGCAAAUUAGCUCAGCCCCUGUGGAAAGCAGUUUGGAGAUCUCUCAAAGAACUAAAAAUAGAAUUACCAUUUCACCUAGCAAGCGAACUGGGUCUAUAACCAAAGGAAUAGAAAUUACUGGGUAUAUACCCAAAUAAAUAGGAAUCGUUCUGCCAAAAAGACACCUGCGCUUGUAUAUUCAUGGCAGCACAUUCACAAUAGGAAAGAUGUGGAAUCAACCCAGUUGCCCGUUAACAAUGGAUUGGAUAAAGAAAAUGUGGUACAUCUACACCAUGGAAUACUACACAGCUAUUAAAAAGAAGGAAAUUAGAUCCUUUGCAGCAACAUGGAUGCAGCUGGAGGUCACUCUCCGAAGUGAAUUAACAUAGAAACAGAAAACCAGAUACCACAUGUUCUCUCUUGUAACUGGGAGCUAAACAUUGUGUACACAUGAAUACAAAGAAGGGAAAAAUAAACAUUGAGGAUUCCAAAACAGGGGAGAGGUGGAGGGGAGUAAGGGUUGAAAAACUACCUUUUGGGUACUGUGUUCACUAUUUGGGUGAUGGGAUCAUUAGAAGCUUAAACCUGAGCACCAUGCAAUAUACCCAUGUAACAAACCUGCACAUGUACCUCCUGAAUCUGACAUUUAACAAUAAAUACAUUCUAAGAAAAAAGGAAAAUACUUUCCGAGGUUAACUUUUCUUUUUUUCUGCACACCAUGGAGAAACAAAUAAGAUAUUAAAGCG
rnacentral:lncRNA from 1 species